AUGAUUUGGGAGAUCCUCCUGCUGCUGCCACCGCAGCGGCCCUCCCUCGUGCGCGCAUCCACCGUCAACACGCUCUGGCGAGGCGUCGCCACCGACCCCGACUUUAUGAGCCAGUCCCGCAGGAAGUGGAAGCCGCCUCCCCUACACGGCUUCUUUGAGCGCCGCCAGCACAAGUUCCGCUUCACCCCCGUCUUGCAUCCUCCCGACGGUAUCCCUGCCGACCGCAUUCACAUCUCAGGCUGGAUGACCUCCCGCGACUGCGACGUGACCGACUGCCGCCACGGUCGACUACUUGCCAUCGACUGCAAGUGGCUUUUUCUGUUUUCCCCCAUCACCGGCGAGGAGCGCAACCUGCCCGUUCCGCGCCAGUUCAGAAAGUGCAACUACCACAACGGGGCUGUCAUAUGUGCUGCCAGCGGACAGGACCAUGUACACGGCUUUUGCCACAACAGUCCAUUCAAGGUGGCAUUAUUGUCCAUUUUUCCUAUAGGUAAUCGAUUUGUCACCUCUGUUUACUCCUCGGAAACCCGCCAAUGGGGUCACGAUAUAUUCCUAGAUGCUCCAUUUGAAGUUGCUCUUGCUGUUGGUGUUCCUGCGACCCUUGUUCGAAAUGUGCUCUACUGGAUGCUUUCAUCAAAUAAUGUUUGUGCUGCCAUGCUUGAGUUUGAUUUGGAUAGGCAGAGCCUAGCUGUGAUCGAGGGGCCUCUUGGUCGUAAGAUUGUUUCGGGCAGCCAUAGGAUCAUCAAAACAGAGCAAGGCACAGUUGGCUGGGUCAGGUUUUCAUUUCCGAACCUAGAAAUAUGGCUGAGGAAGAAGAAUUGUCACGGUAUUGCCACAUGGCUGCAGCAUAAGACGGUUGAUAUGCAUGGCAUUCUUGGGAUCCCUCCUCGGGUUAGUAAGAAGCGGUGGCAUGAAAAAAUCCUCGCGUAUGACGAGGAGAACAAUGUGAUCAUUCUGUAUGUUCAGGACAGUGCUUACAUGCUUGAUCUUAAGUCGAUGCAAUCCACAAAACUUGAUGAAAGCCGUUUGAUGAAAUCCUGUCACCCAUUCACCAGUUUCUAUCCGCCAGACAUGGCAAUCUAA
rnacentral:rRNA from 1 species